AGCGAACGCUGGCGGCAGGCCUAACACAUGCAAGUCGAACGAACCUUUCGGGGUUAGUGGCGGACGGGUGAGUAACACGUGGGAACGUGCCUUUAGGUUCGGAAUAACUCAGGGAAACUUGUGCUAAUACCGAAUGUGCCCUUCGGGGGAAAGAUUAAUCGCCUUUAGAGCGGCCCGCGUCUGAUUAGCUAGUUGGUUGAGGUAAUGGCUCACCAAGGCGACGAUCAGUAGCUGGUCUGAGAGGAUGAUCAGCCACAUUGGGACUGAGACACGGCCCAAACUCCUACGGGAGGCAGCAGUGGGGAAUCUUGCGCAAUGGGCGAAAGCCUGACGCAGCCAUGCCGCGUGAAUGAUGAAGGUCUUAGGAUUGCAAAAUUCUUUCACCGGGGACGAUAAUGACGGUACCCGGAGAAGAAGCCCCGGCUAACUUCGUG
rnacentral:rRNA from 1 species